UCCCUGGUGGUCCACUGGUUAAGAUUCUGUGCUUCUAAUGCAGAGGACACAGGUUUGAUCCCUGGUAGGGGAA
rnacentral:tRNA from 1 species